AUGCAAGGCGCCGUCUUAGCCUUGCCUUCCCAGGAUCGCUCCCACACCUAUCACGUUCGUGAUCGGCCUCCUCAACUUUGUAUCGAUCGAAAGGCAGGGCGGCAGAGCCCCCAACCAACUGGAGUAGUUACGUCCAGUAUGUCCCCCCCGAUUCCUGACAUGCUAUGAUACCCAGGGUGGGUAGGAGCGGGUCGAGUCCGUAUCACCGCGGAACAACUGCAUCGUCCGGAUCUGAUCUAUCUACUCAGCAAUUCAUCCGGUGACGUCAUCAUCCGGUGA
rnacentral:rRNA from 1 species